AUAGGCAAGAUGUGGAAGUGGUGUGAGCCAUUAAGCUACCUUGUACUAAUUCCCCUUGAGGCUUAACCAUACAACGCCAAACGCGUUU
rnacentral:rRNA from 1 species